UCUGGGACUGGGCAGAAGCAGCGAGAGCAGCUUCAGCGCCAGCGAGCAGAAGAGUGGCCUCAGCCCAGGGCAAGCUGAGGAGUGCCUGGGUGCAGAAUAACAAGAAGACUUUUGAUCAGCUUCCCAGAGCGUGGAACGAGAACUUCCAGCAUCUCUACCACACCACACACAGUCCAUCCUGUGAGGUGAAAUGUCCUGUCUGAUUAGAGUAAUGAAGACAAGGAAAUAAAUGUUCUCAAUUUAA